CAGUCGCCGCGGUAAUACGUAGGGUGCGAGCGUUAAUCGGAAUUACUGGGCGUAAAGCGUGCGCAGGCGGUUGUGUAAGACAGGUGUGAAAUCCCCGGGCUUAACCUGGGACCUGCGCUUGUGACUGCACAGCUAGAGUAUGGCACAGGGGGGUGGAAUUCCACGUGUAGCAGUGGAAUGCGUAGAGAUGUGGAGGAACACCGAUGGCGAAGGCAGCCCCCUGGGCCAAUACUGACGCUCAUGCACGAAAGCGUGGGGAGCAGACAGGAUUAGAUACCCGAGUAGUCCCUGUCUCUUAUAC
rnacentral:rRNA from 1 species